AUAAAAAAAAAAAAAAAAAUCACUGCUUUUACGCAGAUUUAAAAAAAUUUUUAUAGCAAAAAAKGUGCCAGUUAUCUUAUAGUUUUAUUUUAGUGAUUUUUAUAAAAUUAGUUAAAUUUGUGCCAGCAGCUGCGGUUAUACUAGUUAUUUAUUUUGUGUAUAUUAGGAUUUAUUAAGUAAAAAUAAAAUUAAUAUUUUUUGGUGAAAUAGGUCAAGGAAUUUUAAUUUUAUUUGAUAAUAAAAUUAAAAAUAAAAUUAGGAUUAGAUACCCUGUUAUUUUAAUUUAAUUGUCUCCUAAGGAUUUAAGUUAAAAUUAAAUGAUUUGGCGGCUGAGAAUAAUUAAAGGGGUUUGUUAAUUAAUUUGAUGUGACACGGUGUUUAUUACUUACCUUUUUUUAGUAUAUCAUCAUUUAAUUAGUUUGUAAUUAAUUAAUUUAUAUAAUAAUUUUUAGUAAGUUAGAUCUAGGUGCAGAAAUAGGUAAGGUGUAAUUAACGGUAAUAAGUUAUUAUUAUAUUUAUUUAGUUUAAUUAUAUUUAAAAGUGGAUUUAACUGUAAUGAUAAAGGUAUGAAGUAAAUUUUAGUGUACAAAUUGCCCGUCAUUCUCUAUGAGACAAGUCGAAACAAAGUAGGAUUAUCGGAAGUUGAGCCUAA
rnacentral:rRNA from 1 species